rnacentral:misc_RNA from 1 species
GCCAGAGUUUGAUCCUGAGAGGGGAAGAUGUCCAUGAUGUUCCAGUCCAGUACACAAUACAGGGUAUAUACCCUCACGAGUUCCCAGUCAAAGGUAGGCUCUCUCUCAUAUGGGGUCGCCAUGUUUGGGGGUUAUGUUAGCGUUGUUCCAUUGUACUCUACGUAUUUAGUGCGGUCACCAUAGGAUAAGUCCGACUUGUAGACAAAUCACCAGUGUUUAGUGACACUGACUGGAAUGUUAAAUACGUCACCGAAUAUCUGGAGUAGCAACUUAAUACUUAAGGGGCCCAUUCAUAGGUGAAAUCAAUGGCCGCCGCCGGUAUGGUUAUAAAAGCACGUUUAUCACAAACAUGUUCUUUUCAAUUUAACAUACUUGUUUAAUUUGGGUAGUAUUACCCCUAUUUAGCAUAAAUAAAACUAUAUGAAUUGGCGUCCAUUGACCACCAGUUUUGGUCCCACCAGCGACGUUUAUGUUCCACCAAGCAAUGACGACAUGACGAGAAUGGAAGUUAAACUAUAGGCCAUGUUGAUGGAAGUGGUGAACGGAAAUGAGAGUUACACGCGUCAUAUGUUGUAUACUGAGCUUACGAGCUACAGUUGUGUACCAGUAAACAGCACACGUGUAAUAACUCCUACUUCGUUUGCUGAAAUGAGAACGCCAAGUUAUUUAAAACGUGUCGUUAACGUAAAUCUUUUAUCUAGUAUAAAAAGGGUUAGUUUGUACCUUGACGAACUCUAGUCAAGGGUAUUUUUUUGUCAAACCCAUUUCGAAAAUAACGGGGUGCGUUAAUGACCCGUGAAGCUAAAAAGUGUUCGAGCGAGCGGGCCUGUAGAUGGCUGAUUAUUGUAAUACCAACCGUUCACCGCUUUCUAUCUCGUAACGUACAAUUUACAUAUUUGACAAAUGAUCACCUAACGUUAGCUGUGACCACUGAAACGCAACACUGGACAGGAUCAUCUGUGUAUGAGUCUCUAUAAUGUGUCAACAGCUAGAAUACUUUAUACCCUCAUUUUAUUUUCACUAUUUUAUUCGAAGCGCCUCAAAAGAUUAUACAUGUUAUAAAUAUGUGUUUUAAAUAUUUUAUGUAUUUCUAUUUAUCAAAUUAGCCUUUAUUAUUCAUGAUUGGGAUAGAUUUUCACAUCCUCGUCGUAUUUACAUGAUCUUGUGUAUUAACCAACACGGCAUAAGGAUCUCUUUGAUGUUAGAAACACAUCUUUGGUAAAAUGUACCAGGUGUGAUACUGUAUGAUCUUUGAAUAUUUUAUGUAGAAACCAUCAUUUUAUUAUGCCAUAAUGACUAAAAGUUCAUGCGACUAAUAUGUUUUUUCUUAUAUGAUGCUGACGGUUUUCAAAAAUUGACUCGAGACCCUAGUACCCAUCUUCGCUAGCCAAGUGUUCGUUAUACGAAGCAAACACUUGGCUAGCGAAGAUGCACGUACAAUUGACGAGGACUUGUACAAGUCUAAGAUGCUACUCCAAUAUUCACCGACGAUGACGUAUUGCACAUAGGUUUGACAAGUAUGAUUAAUCAGAAAUCAGAUAAGCCUCAUACAGUGACGUAUUGCCCUGCUUUGCCAUGUGUUCUUGACAAUAUUUUUACUUUCAGUUUUUGAGAAGUUCUAAGUCUACACAACCGCAGCCCAGUGAUGGGACGAUGUCCGUAUAACAUGAACUUGCUCAUAUAAUUGGGAGUAGUAAGUUGUUCUCCUCUGCGGAGGGACAUCCUACCACGCAAGUUCAUUCAUCAAAUACACUGUUUCUAUGUGGAUCGACGGAUCUGCCCUGGCUUCCGGUACCAAGUACGUUACGUCAGCAGGAAGGAUGACGUGUUUGAAGGUAGAGGGCGUUACCUGACUUCAGUCGGCAUGGGGUACGGAAAACGCUUGACAUUCAAGGGAGACAAACUCAACGUCAACGACUGUUUCUUUUGGUCAGACAACGACGAAGGUGGCUACGCAUUCAGCCACGAUGUUCUGGAAAAGGGCGAGAAAUUUGUUCUUUACGAUUCAAACUCUCAACCAAUUGGUGACGUCAUUGUAGAAUCAGCCACGGAAUGUCCACAGAUCGAGGAAUCCAUGGAAAUCACAAAUACGCAUGUGAAGAAAACAGUUCGUGUUCGAUUUGCAUGCGUAAUCAAUUAUCAUACCCGUUUCCAUGGUAACUUGGUAGAAGUG